rnacentral:rRNA from 1 species
GACGAACGCUGGCGGCGUGCUUAACACAUGCAAGUCGAACGGAAAGGCCCUGCUUUUGUGGGGUGCUCGAGUGGCGAACGGGUGAGUAACACGUGAGUAACCUGCCCUUGACUUUGGGAUAACUUCAGGAAACUGGGGCUAAUACCGGAUAGGAGCUCCUGCUGCAUGGUGGGGGCUGGAAAGUUUCGGCGGUUGGGGAUGGACUCGCGGCUUAUCAGCUUGUUGGUGGGGUAGUGGCUUACCAAGGCUUUGACGGGUAGCCGGCCUGAGAGGGUGACCGGCCACAUUGGGACUGAGAUACGGCCCAGACUCCUACGGGAGGCAGCAGUGGGGAAUAUUGCACAAUGGGCGGAAGCCUGAUGCAGCAACGUCGCGUGCGGGAUGACGGCCUUCGGGUUGUAAACCGCUUUCGCCUGUGACGAAGCGUGAGUGACGGUAAUGGGUAAAGAAGCACCGGCUAACUACGUG